CUGAUUUGGGGGAAGACACACAAAGAAAUGCAGUGUGGGGCGUGAGACGGUACAGGGCCUUGUACAUCAAGGAAGAAGGGAUCUGACUGCCACCACCACAGAUGAGGAGACCGAGGCCCAGAGGGGACAGUGACAUCUCCAGGGUCAGCCACUCCUCAGCGUGGGUGUGGGUACAAACCCAGGACGGCCAGCCCCUCAUCUCCAAGGGUCCUGUGCCUUGAGAGUGGCCUGUAGCCCCUCCCAACUCCCACCAGAGGGCGCCCAAGCCAGGCCUUUGUGAGGAAACCCCGCCCCCCCAACCCCGCCCCCAUUGACUGAGGGUCCCAGAGGCAGACCGCACUCCCAGGCCCCCCCAAAGGUUGGCCCGAGUCCAGGCUUAGGUCCCGGGGGGCUGGGGUCACCCCGUCAGCCCAAGACAACAGAGCGGACUGGAGUUAGGCCAAAGGAAGGGGCAGCCACCAAGGAGCCCUGGGGCUCCUUCACUGCCCUUAAACAUUUGGCGAACUCUUCAAGAUCCUGGAGGGCCCUGCGUCUCUGGUGAACCCCUGCAGGGGGCCGCUGUGGUCUAGCCCAGGGUUUCCCCCAGCAGUGGCUGGUCACGAGGCAUUUCCACCUCUUCCCACAACCAGCCCCCAGGAUGAACUGUGACUAGAGCGUCAGGUCCGCAGGCCUGGGACUAGCCUGCUGGUUCCGCCCUCCCUCCAGCCGGGGAGACGAUGCAGAGCUGGCCGCCGCCUGCUGCCUGCACCGGGACCUCAUGGCGUGCCAGGCUUGCGGGGAGAACAAGGCGACUGGAGGGCAGGACAGGAGGGCCAGGCUGGGCGGCCUCCCCCUGACCCCUUGGGGCCUCUCCCAGGCCCAGAUGGGUGGCCAGGAUGUGAUAGGACAUAAGCCAGAGAAGGAGACAGGAGGAUGUCAAGGAAGGGGAGGUGGGGAUAUUUGGGGGCUACUUGACAGGGUGCCCAGAGGGGACGUGAGCUUUCUUGCCUCUGGAUGUAGUUGCAGGACCAUGGAGGGGUUGGUCACAUCCUUUCACUGUGAGGGCAAAGCUGAGAGAAUCGUGGAGGAGAGACCUGGAGCCUGGGCUCCACUGGUCCCCGGUUAAUCCCAGGACCACUGGGUUAGUCAGCUGAGCCCAGAGCAUCCAGGAGAGGCAUGUCAUCACCCAGAGAGGGUGCCCCUGGCCCACUGCUGACUCACUGUCCUUGUGGGGGAGGCUCGCCCCUCUGAAGGGAUCUGGGUGACGGGAGUGCCACCUGCCCUUGGAUGGUUUGAUGAUAUCAUGACAACAUCACCCACGUAAG